rnacentral:rRNA from 1 species
UACGUAGGGUGCAAGCGUUAAUCGGAAUUACUGGGCGUAAAGCGUGCGCAGGCGGCUUUGCAAGCCAGAUGUGAAAGCCCCGGGCUUAACCUGGGAAUGGCAUUUGGGACUGCAAGGCUUGAGUGCGGCAGAGGAGACUGGAAUUCCUGGUGUAGCAGUGAAAUGCGUAGAUAUCAGGAGGAAUACCGAUGGCGAAGGCAGGUCUCUGGGCUGACACUGACGCUCAUGCACGAAAGCGUGGGGAGCAAACAGG